rnacentral:lncRNA from 1 species
CUAGAUAAUAAAACUAAUACUUUUAGUCCUCGUAGAUAUGAUAUUUCCGGUCUCACCAUAACUAUACUACUGUUCGAUAGGUGUGCUUGCCUUAGUCAAAUUUUUAGUUAGUUUAGUGACCAUCAUUCCACCAACAGAAAUAGAAGACAAUAUCAUAUGAAUCCUAGUAUAAAGUGUUCUAUCACAUAUAUUGACUUGGAAAACCAAAGAAAGAUAGAGUAAUACCACUUGUGAAUC